UACGGAUAGCUUUAUUGGAUUUAAUUACAUGCAAAACUGAACAGCUCUGAUAUGAAAUACAGCAAAAACAUGAAUAUAUUUAUUAGGGCAAUGUUUUAUGAAAUCCAGGCAUGUUAUAAUAGCUGCUCCGAAAGUAAUGCCUCCCAGUUGAUUGUGCUGGUGGUAUGGCAGUAGAGGUUGAACCUUCCUUGCAACGUUAUUAGGUUUUGUUACUGUGUGACAGAUGGCAGCAGAAGGGCAAUCUGAUAAAAACGGUGUUUGUAGUGGAAGUGCCUAUGAAGCAAAGGCAUAGAACUGAAUUCCUCUGUGUAGAAGAAAUGGCACACUUUGACAUUCAUUAAUGCUUGCUGAAUGUUUACGGAGACCAAACAGUGGGUGUGAGCACAGUGAGGUGUUUCAGCCCCAUGAGGUGUUGUGUUUCAGCAGUGUCAAUAGCGACGUGAGUGACAAGUCACAUUCUGGACAGCCAUGCAGAUUUUUGCAAGUGUGGCAUGCAAGCUGUUGUUCACUGGUGAUGAAAAUCCCCAGCUAAUGGUUGAGACUGCAACGAAAAAUAGCAUUUUGUAGAUGAGACUUUGCUCUGUCAAACAGUGUUAUUUGUGCUCUUUGCAUCUGUUGUAUUUUCCAUGGAAGUAAAUAGGAGGCAUUGCUUUUGAAGCAACCGAGGAACAAACACAAAAACCACAACCUAGACAGUGAAAUACUAUUGCACUUUAAGAGCUGAGAGUUAACAUUCUGCAACUGUUUCAGUAAGUUUUUAAACGAUAGCAUGAAAGCACACUUUAGGAUCUCGUGUUCUGGUUCACAGUUAUGGAAGAAAACUACAAAAUUCCUUUCCUGCUUCUGUAAGCAGGGCCUGGUCUGCCACCGCUGAGUGGGCAUCCGAGGGGGAAAAAAGGGAGCACAAAGUAGAGAUGAUUAAGGGUUGAAAAGAUGACUCAUCUUGACGAUGUGGCAUUAAGAGAAUUACAUUCAUAUUUCAGUUUUAGUAUUUUAAUGCACUAUUUUUUGUCAUCUAAGAAUAACUCUUCCAUUUACACUUUUGAGCUCCCUAUACUAAAAACAAAUUCAUAUUCUAAGACCUUGCUAUAAUCUCAGGGUAGUUUAGGUAUUUAAUUAAAAAGUCUACAGUUUAGUUUCCAGAAAACUCCUGAAUCUCACAAUAUCUAAAACUCAUAAAUAAUCCUAUUCAUCAAAACAAAGGCAGAAAGUUUCAUUUAAUCAUUUGGCUUGUAACCCUACUUACUUACCUGUAUCAUGUUAAAAAACAAAAAACAAAACACAAAUAAUGCGCUGAUGUUGAAGAAGACUGUACAGUACUGAAGCUUUCCCUUUUCAUUGCUGGGAACACAAACCCAGUUAAGGCUUUUUCAAUGAGCUUUCAUUUUUCAAUUAACAUGUUUUAUUUCAAAUUUAUUCUCAGUUGAAAUGAGUUACAUUUGCAGCUGAGGAAAGCAAAGAUGAAACUUUGUUCUUUCCUUUUGUGCUCAGCUGUACAAUUUAUUUUUUCUCCUGGCAACAGAUUUUAAAUCUUUGCCUUCUUUAUUUUUUUUUUUCAUGGGAACUGUUUAGUAAGUGCUGACAUUACAGUUGACAACGCUUUGUGUGUUUCUUCCUUUUGCCUGGUUUCUGUGUCUGUGUGUGCAGGCAUGCAUUCAUUAACGUAAUUCCUCAACAUUCAACAAGAGUGUAUCAUAAACCAGAGGAAAAAAGCUCAUAAAUAUUUAGAUCCUUGCCUACCUUCCAAAACUAAAGUGAAAAAGAGUAUUUAGUGAGGACUGUGAGGACUUGGUUUGAGUUAAUCUGCAUAUGAAGUGAAAGAGGGUACAAAAGGAUGAAAAGGUGGUGGAAACGAGCAUACAAACCCUGUAGUCUCCAGGGGGCCAUUCAUCUUGUUCUUGUCAAUACAAUCUCAGUCCUAGGGCUUGGCUGUUUUUCGCGCAUGACCCAACAGACUAGCUUGGCUAAGGCAACGUUGCGAAGGAUGUGUGUGCUUUCUUCUUAAUUUUGUUCUGUCAUGUAAUUUUUCCAGGGGAGAGCAAAAUACUUCAUGUUUCAGAAGAACCUAGACAGAUUUCUCCAAAUGCAUCUCUACUUGUUUGUCAUUCACACUGACGUAUGGACCCCCUUCCCUCCCCUCUUUUUGGUAAAGUGACAGGUAGGUUGUAUGAAAAGCCAUUCUAGGCAAUGUGACAAUUAAUGAGAAAAAUAAAGGUCACAUUCUAGCUUGAAGCAUGUUAUAUCUAUUUGCAUAUACAGUCAUGCUGUUAUACAAGUUGGACUUCAUGCUGUCUACAUUUAUACAUAAAAUUCCACUAACAAAUAACAUUGCAAAAAAUCUGAAAUUAUAGAUAUAAAUAAUAGAAUGCUAAUAAAACUUGCUAUUUUAUUUUUGUAACUGUACAGAGUCACCUGUUUAGGCUGGAAAUCACCUCUUGAGAUCAUCUAGUCCAACUCCGUAUAGGGAAUUCUGCAAUUAUUUUAAAUCCUUUUUAUUUCAAUUUAAUUUCUUCAUGAACUGAGAUCAAAUUGAUUUUGAAGGACUGUAUCACUACAUACAGUCACUGACAAUUUGCAACUGUUGUGCUUAGAUGUCUUUUUCAACCAAAACAAUACAAGGACCACUAAAGUCUGUAAUAAGACGUGAAUAAUGAUUUCACACAAAACAAGAUUCUUGAUCAUAAAAAGCUAAAUGACAGAAGGUUUUUUUUUUUGGCUAUUUAAAGUAUAAAAUAAGUAAAUCUUUCUUUAGUUUCCACAUCUAUUAUCUGAAGAUAAAACACAAGAAUUACAGCAAUACUAUAUGCAAAAUUGGUCAUUUAAAUCAUAACUCAUUGGUAAUGUUCACUUAUCUUACUAUAUUACUAAUCUACUAUUUUGUACUUGUGAUAAUUAGUUAUCAAAUUAAUCUUUAUAAUUCAGUCUCCUAAUUAAAUCAAGUUUUUUUUUUUAAUGGUGUUUAACAGACCUCCCGAGAACCUUAUUGCUGGAGCAACGUAGCGAACUUACAACAUGUCAGGCAUGAGCCUGAGCAUACACUGCCACGACUGCCUUACUAAUCACCUGCUGUCAGUCUGACACAGAGCUCCACCUACUUGGAUAGACAUCUAAUAAGGCACUAAGAUCUAUCUGUAGCCAGAGGGAUAAAACUGAGUUCACCUCUAACCUGUAGGACAGGUGUGUACAAACUUCAAAAGCAGAAUAAAGAUCAAUUAUACCGCUAAUGAAAAUCCAAUGGAUGACUAUAAAUAGUCUACAUGGGAGGCAAACCAAGGUAGAGAUGUACACAUCCGCUAGAGGAUAAACACUUUCUGGUAUGAACUUUGGCCAUUCUACCAUUUCUUUCAGGACUUUUGAAAAUAACAAAAUAUCUGGAGAUGGAGAAACAAUUGAUGGAGAAACAAGUCCAGUAGAGCUGCAUCUUCAUCUGUAACAGAGAUGUGGUUUGCAAGCUUCCUCAGUAACAGAGACUUUCCAGACUAUUCUAGAGUGGGUAGAAAGAAAGCUGACUAUUUUGGCAUACCUGGUUUCAUGGUUCCAUGGUGGCUUUCUUUAAUCAAAACAAAAUCAUAAAAACUCAGGGGAACUUUUCCUUGUCUUUCCUCAAUUAAGUUUUCUUUAUAGUUGCUGCCGCAACCUGUUUUUUAAGCAUAUUGUCACACCAUACUAAAUGUUUGUUACCACAUAACAAAAUGGUAUUGCUAUGUAUACUGGACAGUAGAGUACGCUCUGUGGGAUACUUCUGCAUUUCUCCACCCCUCAAGCUGCUGGGGAAACAGUUCUUGAGUAGUGUCAGGAUGUCAAAGUGAGGGCUAAAAACCCGAGAGAGAACUAUCACACCUUCAGUAAAAACAAAAACCUGUCAUCACUAUAACAACCUUUCCAUAAUCGAAUUAUGAAAGAGACACUCAAAAAGUGAAAACUCUGUGAAACUUCCAGAUACACAUUUUAACAAAUACAAUACCUAAAAAGACAACGUUAACACUUAGUGAUCAUCUUUAUUUACAAACUAGAAAUAAAUUCCAUAACAUAAAAGCGCCUAUUUGAGAAAGCAGCCUUGACAUCUCUAAGUCACAGGAAAAGUUGUAAUGUAUGUAUGUGGAAACUUCUCAUGUUCAGGAUGAACAGGAACAUCUAUGCUCCUAAAUUGGAUCUGCACAAAGAUAAACUGAAUAUACAGAAAAUCUGUUGUUUCUUCUCCUUGUAUUUCAGUUAGAAUCAGAGAGCAAGCACAAACCACUUCAAGCAACAAUCUGAGAUUAUUAGAACGGUAAAACAAUUUCCAAACACCUCAAAUUAAUCUGCAAUAACUUUUUCAAAUCAAUUACUCAAUUUUGCCCCUACACUAUUAGUGAACUUCACACAGUAACUCCUUGCACCACCCCAACUCUCUGGUCUAUCCAACACACUGACUUUUUUGAAUGCAAAACACUAAUUGACUUCUAAAAGCCAGAACUAGGGAAAGACUGCAUUACUUUCAAUAGAGUAAUUUAGUUCUUGUCAGAAUCCUGAACCCAAACUGCUGCCCAAGCUAUUCUGAGAGCAAAAAUGACUAAUAAAAAAAAUGUUUCUGCAUACUUACAGUGAGAUUCAGAUGCCUAUACGAGAGCUUGCAGCAGCUGUUUUGGAUGUCCUCAAGAUGUAAGAAGGUCCCAGACAGAGCAGGCCGAUGUGAUGGAGGAUGAAAGAAAAUUGACCUUCUGGAGAUUUGAUUGGGCACCAAGCAGGACAACAUGAGCUAUGAAUAGAUAAAGCAGCCUGCAAGCUUCUGACCAUACUGUAGCACGGGAGGAUAACUGCCUUGCAUGGGAAAUCAAUGAUGCUGUAGCACUGCACUUUUGCUUUGGAGGAACACUGCUGGAAGCACCUAAGAUUCAUAUUGCUCACUGCCUUUCUUUCCUCACUCCAGAUAUGUCUCUUAAUUUUCCACCACUAGGUAAAUAAUAAAGGACCUGCAUAUAACAGAGAUUUAAUAAAUAGCAAAGAUGUGGGAUAUAUGAAAGAUUGAGUGCAAAAAAAAAAAAGAUUCUGGAUCUGUUCAAUUAGUUUGAUUAUAUUUUAUUAGAAAGCUCAGCCAAUACAAAUGAUUCUUGUUCACUACCAGCCAGUUUAAAGUGUGGUGUUUCAUUGUAAUUCAUAUAGAUGUUUUCUGUCCAGUUAAAUAUAAACUCCUUGGGUAAGUACUGCUACUUUUCGUGUAUUGAAUGUUAAGAAGCAUAAGCAGCACCAGCAAUGCUUCAGUGUAAGUCAAUAUACAUACACGUUUACAUUUCAGACAUUAAAAGGAAAAAUUAAAUUAAUGUACCAGUUGCAUUUUAAGCUCUACUUGCUUUUAGUAGUAAUUGAGAUGAAUGGUUAAUUUAAAUCUAUUUCCAAAGUUAAGGCUGAAAGCAUUUCAUUUAUAUUCAACAAUAACCAACAUAGUAUGGCAUUUUACCAAAACAUGGGACACCUCAAAAACAGAAGACUUAUUCGAUUUCUUGUUGACAGAAUUGACAGCUCUUUGCUACUGUUGUUGCCAAAAUGAAUAUGCUAAUUUACUUUUUAAUUCUGUAGCAAGUGUGAAAAUACUCCACUGUGAAAAAUAAAAAUACUUUUUUAUUAUGUAUCUUAAACGGAAAUGUCUUCGAACAUUGUAUUUUUAGUUAUACAUAGUGAAUAAAAAAGCUGCUGGUGGCAGUAUUUUUAAGUAGCUGACUUCAUGACUUAAUUAAAUGCAGAACAGUAUUCUGGAUAAGUUUAAAGUAGAUAGCUAACGUAAAUCAGAUGAUAAAACUGGCGUGCAUGAAACAAAUAAUGGCUAAGACAUCUUAAUAUUCUCAAUUUCUAUAUAUCUUACUAUUGUAAUCUUAACUUGAGCAUGUGUUAACUGGGCAGACAUAUUCAGCAAUGGUCUUCUCGGAGCCUCCACAGAGCUAGGCAGCACAUAAUCACCACUGCUCUCACUUCUGUAAUCCGCAGCACAGGCAGGCUACGUGUUGUUUUCAUAUAGGAGUUCUCCAGAAGAGACAAACCAGAAGCCAUUUGAAAUUCUGCCCUACUGAAACCUGCAGUUGUAUUGCUACUGUAGUACUUCUGUGGCUUUAUGGAUGGAAAACAGAAUACGUACCACUCUGACUAAACCUAUGGGACUGGAAACAUUAGAAGUGCACAUGCUGUAUUUCAAGAGAGUCUUUUUCUUUUAAUGAACAAGUACGAAUAUUGAUUACCCAAACAGCAAAAUGUACAAAACAAUGCAUGUGUUUGCAAGUUAGAAGAUAGAGGAAAGUUUAUGAGGUUAGAGGUAAAAAAAUACUUUUUAAAUGUGUAUGACUCAAAUAUAUUCUGUGAAAAUUGUAUUUUUCACUGUAGCUUUUAAAUUUAAGUGCUGUUAAGAACAAGAAACAAAAUAGAUAAAUUUUAUGUUCAAUAUAUCUCAAUUUUGUCUUCUCUACAUAAUUGUUGGUAAUAUUUUUUCUAUGCUGAGAUUUCUUUCUUUCCCUCUUUCUUCCUGUUUUCUGCCAGAAGUGGCAUAUGAGAAACAUCAUUUUCAUCUUGCACUGAAGAACGUGAAAUGAAGCCAGUGCAAACCCUACUUCUCUAGAAGGUUCUAGUUCACUAUAGAGGUUUUUUCAGGAGCCUGGCAGAACUAUCACUCUCUCUGGGUACAGAUAUCUUUGCUCAGUGCUAGAACUUUCAUCUUUUCUGAAUAAAAGUCCAUGUAUCAGGACAUAAAGAAGCAGUAUGUACAGACACUGCACAUCAGUGGAAAUUACCUACUUAAAGUAAAAUAUAGUAGGUCAUCUGUGGUAAUAUUGAACACUGAUGGAACACACCCUACAAUGUACUGAUGUGUAUCUUUGUCGUGCAUAACUAUGACUAUUUGGUACUCACAGGGAAGCCAAACACAGGGAAUAGCCAUCCCUUCACUAACUACUGAGAGUUAAAUGAAAUGAUUAAUACUUAACAAAACAGUUCCAUAGAUAGGUACACCUGGCAUAGAGAGUAGAUAGGUAAGUUUUUAGCAUGAACAUUUAAAGAACUUGAAGUGGUCAUUGGAACAAACUCACAUACGCGCUACUAUGGCUUCUGUUUGAAAAGUUAGCUGUCAGUAUGGCUUAACAUCAAAGGAAAUAGCUUUUCAACAGUUGUCAAGCAUCACAGACUCUGAAUAUUGUUGAUGUUCUUGAUAUUUUCAGUCUGGCUCUAGACAUUACUCUGUUCAUAUUUUAGUCACCUUGGAGAGAUGAAUGAAUUUCAGAUAUCCAUCUGGUAGUGGCCUCAUCUACUGCAUCACAGUUACAGCUGCUACUGUCUUGUACACUGUGAAUGAAUCGACAACAGUCCUGGAGUAGUAUUUUUCCUCGGAUGACUGUAAGGGGUAAGGGAAGAACUGCUUCCUUUCCUGAAGAAGGGUAAUAUAGCACGUUGUUGCCUUCCCGUUAUAGAAAGCAUUUCAGGAAGCUGAUGACAUCCAACUGUAUAUGCCUACGAUUAUGUCAACAGAGAUGCUUUAACUAAAAGAAUGUUUCCCAGUAGUCAUCAGCCUUCAGCACUCCUACUUCCCAAGCUGCUAUCAGAUAUGAACACUAUAGCAGCAAUUGAAUUUGCUUUUUACGAUCAGUGCAAGGCCUUUAUUGCUGUAGACAGACUGCUGCUGGCAUUAUCAUAUUUUUUCUUAUUUCAAGAUUAGAUUAAUGCAAUAAAACUUCACCUUUAAAAAUAAGCUGCCGGAGAAUACUACAGUUUAUAUGACAUGAGAAAGACUACCUAGAUAAAAUGCAGGAAUUAAAGAUAAGGACCUCUACUCGUGUUCAGACAGAAACUAAUGAGUUAUGUAGUUACCCGAAGAACCUUGACAAGUCAUAGGACCUGUUCAGUGUCCAACAAACAAACUAAAACAACAACAAACAUGCCUGCCCCCACCACUACUAUACAAUCUCCCUCCCAACCCACAAGCCCUAUUUACCCAGCCCUGCCCCCUCUCUAUUUCUUCCCUCCUGGGAAACUCCAAAGUUCAAUCCAAAGCAGGAGUAUUUCUGCUUCCUCUGUAGAUGAGGUUGCAGGCAGGCCAGUCUUCUUGGGAGCUAUACCUUCACUUAGCUCUUGAAGCAGAACUAAUUCAACCUUCAUCUCCGAUGCAUUCUUAAUCCCCCUUUCCUGGUAGUGUAGGAAGGUGGAGGAAGAUAGAACACAAGGUAUGCAGAAAGGCUUUUAUGUAGAUUUUCUGUUUUUGCAGGAUAGUUGAUGAAGAAAGAUGUCAUACUGAUUUACUUAUUUAAAACUAAUGGUGCGUUAUCUACAUUUUGUCACAGCAUUCAGCUUUUCCAAGGGCAUUUUUCCAAUGAUUUAAAUUCAGACUUCAGGCACUCAUGACAAAAUAAAAGAUGAGAGGUAUUCCCUAAGUCAUUUAUCCUUAAUUACGCAGGCAGCCUCAGCAUGUAGCUCUGCCUCCAUUUUUGUACCGUUCAGAUUAGAAAAACAAUUCAGAUUAAGGCAUGGCAAAGCAGAGCUUGAAUUUGCAUUGAAAUGCACGAGUGAUUCCAGUAACUGCUGGUGUGCAACAUCUUAUUCACCAGUAAAUAAAUGGAAAAUAGCUUAGUAUAAGAUGUAUUGUUCUCAGUAGGCAAGACAACGGACAUUUAUUUCGUAUCUCCUGUUGGUAUUUCUUACCUUAUAUUGUGUGCUCACUUCAUCUGCUCAUAUCCAAGCAGUGGAAGCACUUUAUGUGCAGGAAGCAAUAAUGAAGCGGUAUGGGACAGCUGUACCGAAUCUUCUGAAAAAAAAAAGUCUCCAUAUGCUAUUUUUAGUGUCAGAAUUGGCAGUCCAAAAUAAUCCCUCUGACAUUAUCUAAGUUCACCUAAUUGUAAGACACAGCCUGCAGUCUGACACAGGCGGCCUCAAUCAGAUCAGAGCACUCAGUGAGCAGUUUUCCCACUCGCUGGUCAAAAACUAGCAGAUCAAUAAAGGGCUACAAAAAUGCACCACCCUUCAGGCUGGUCCGUAAUAAGCAGAAGAGGACGACAGUUUAGGUCGGCACGUAAGGUUUGGUUUUGCUCAUCGGGCUUUUAAAACAAGAGAGGAAUGGAGCAAACACAACCUUGUUAUUAAAUGGAAGCAGCACUGUGUCACCAUCCAUAGCCACGCUGCAGGGUGCUGCAACAGAGGGACCAGCGACCCACGUUUAAAGAAAGCAAAACAAAACAGUAGCCUGCGAAGCUGCUACUCUCUUUGAUAAUAGAGGUGAUAACAAAAAAAAAAAAAAAAACGACGGAAGCAAUAAAAGUCUUAUCUUACAAAAACCAUUAAAUUUUACUUUACAUAAAGCAAACCCGGAAGUGCAAUACAAAUUAUUGUGUCUGGAUAAAGAGUUGUACGUGUUUAAAUGAGAACGAUCCAACAGACGCUGGAAGGACAGCAGACACCCAAGGCACUCUCACUACGAUGGGAACUACGCUUUCUCUGCAUUCUCGCCCACGCUUUGUGUCGAGAAGCGGGACAGCAGCUCGGCAACACCCAGUAACGCCGCACACCAGUCAGGAAGGCAUCGCGGCGCUGCUUUCGGUGCUGGAAGCACUAUUCACCCUGACUUAACCCAGCGCUUUCAUCUUCUUCAAAUGCCGCGCAGCACGCGUGGAAAUAACAGGCGAAUUCUUUGGGAGUUCCAAGCGGUACGUCCGCUUUUACGCUCCUAGCAGAACCGACUGUUUCCAGCCAGCUAAACGAAGCGUGAAGCGGUUUUUACUGCGCUUUAUGACCGCUUACUGCACGCCGCCUCAUCGCCUCAGCGACGGCCUCGCAGGGAAGCGGCGCGCGCAAAGCCGCG
ensembl:lncRNA